UCUCUAUAAAUACACACCUUCUAGGGUUUCAGUUCCAACCACAGCCGCUUCUAGGCGUGCUGCCAGGCGCCAAUGAAGACUCUUUGAUAGUUCAUCCGUCUGUUAAUACUCUAACCCUCCGAAUCGUCUCCUGUCAAAUUGCCUCAAGGAGGUCAUCGACUCCAUCUUUCAUUCCACUGAAUCAAGAGCAUUCCUGGUUAUUUUGUUGGCAAUUGGAUCUCGGCUUUUCAGUUGUGAUGGCAUCGGGCUUGUAUUUUGAUUAUUGAGUAAUCAACUAUUUCUUGUGCACAGUGAUUAGCAUUUUGAUUGAUAUGUGAUGUUGCAUGAAAUUAUAAUAUUUCGUGUAGCAGAUUGGUAUAUGAUAUUCGAGGGCAAUUCCAGCUUCUUGAGCCAAAUUCGGGUUUUUGGUUGUACUCAUCUUGCAGUCAUUUUUCCUUUUUGGCUUGAAAAAUGUACUGUGGCUCUGUCGAAACUUGAACCCUUGUCUCAUAAGCUACAAUUUUAUCCUUUAACAUCCCCAA